rnacentral:lncRNA from 1 species
AUGGGGCUGCCCCAUAAGUUACUGGCCCCCCAUUAUCUAUGGGGCUGCCCCAUAAGUUAUAACCCCCCCCACAUAUCUAUGGGGCUGCCCCACAAGUACCUGACCCCUUUAUCUAUGGGGCAGCCCCACAAGCUCCCGCCCCACAGCGUCACUUACCUGCCUCCUCCCAGUAUCUAUGGGGCAGCCCCCCAAGUUCCCUCUGCCCCACACAUCUAUGGGGCAGCCCCCCCCAAGUUCCCUCUGCCCCACAUAUCUGUGGGGCAGCCCCACACACUGACCCUCCUGGCCCAUAUCUAUGGGGCAGCCCUCCAAUUUCCCACCCCCCCCCAUAAAAUCUAUGGGGCAGCCCCCAAGUUCCCUCUGCCCCACAUAUCUAUGGGGCAGCCCCACACACUGACCCUCCUGCCCCACACAUCUAUGGGGCAGCCCCACACAUCUAUGGGGCAGCCCCACACAUCUAUGGGGCAGCCCCACACACUGA